rnacentral:rRNA from 1 species
UGGGGAAUAUUGGACAAUGGGGGGAACCCUGAUCCAGCCAUGCCGCGUGUGUGAAGAAGGCCUUAUGGUUGUAAAGCACUUUAAGCGAGGAGGAGGGUACUGGUAUUAAUACUACCAGCUACUGGACGUUACUCGCAGAAUAAGCACCGGCUAACUCUGUGCCAGCAGCCGCGGUAAUACAGAGGGUGCGAGCGUUAAUCGGAUUUACUGGGCGUAAAGCGUGCGUAGGCGGCUAAUUGAGUCGGAUGUGAAAUCCCCGAGCUUAACUUGGGAAUUGCAUUCGAUACUGGUUAGCUAGAGUGUGGGAGAAGAUGGUAGAAUUCCAGGUGUAGCGGUGAAAUGCGUAGAGAUCUGGAGGAAUACCGAUGGCGAAGGCAGCCAUCUGGCCUAACACUGACGCUGAGGUACGAAAGCAUGGGGAGCAAACAGG